rnacentral:lncRNA from 1 species
UUUAUCAAUUUAGUCAAAAUAAUUAAUCAAUUAUCACAUAAGGAAACAAUUAUCUUAUUAAUUGAUAAAUAUCUUCAAUUAGAUCAAAAAUAUAGUCAAAUAUAUCAUAUAAUCGGAUUAAUAUUGAUCUAACAUGAUAAGGUAACUAUCCAUAAGCAAAAACAGCAAGAAAUCCCGAAGUACCCUCCAUCUGACGAGUUGACUCGUCGAGUCAGGCUUGGACUCGUCGAGUCUGCAUGGACUCGGCGAGUUCAGCUAUGGACUCGGCGAGUCCAGCCUCCAGAACAUCAAAAAUCGAAUUUUUUGAACAUGUAAUGCAUCAAUACAAUUGAAACCAGUCUAGGCUCUGAUACCACUGAUGGGUUUUGGUCAUAAGACAUCCUAUGUGCUCAUACAAACCCUAAUGCUUGGAUCUAGGUUUCUCUAUUGUACAUGCUUUGAAUCCAAGACUAUAAACCCUAAUUCUAGCAUAUGGAAAUCAAUAUUAACAUAUAAUUAGGUUUAAGAUAUUACCUUGAUUGUUAUGUAGCAAUAACAAUCCCAAUUCCUCCUUGAAUUGACUUUGGAAGGCUUAGAGUCACAAGUGUCACUCCUCUAAUGGCUUACAAACACCAUAAGCAAGAGGAUGAAGAGGAGAGAGGAUGGAGGCUGCCCAAAACGUGUUCUAACCCUAGAAAAGAAGUUCCCCACGUUUUUGAGCCUUAAGGGUUCUAUAUAUAGUGAGGCUAUUAGGGUUAUCUAACAAGGAAACCCUAAUUUGGUUGCUUAAGCCCUAAGCAACCCAUAGACUCCUUUAAUCAAGCCCUUGGACGAUUUCCUUAUGGGCUUCCCAUAAGAAUUCGUCCACCUCUUGAUUUAAGACAAUCCAUGGCCCAAAUUGCAAUUAUCUUAUAAUUACAAUUCCAGUCCCUUAAGUUUAAUUAAUCUCUUUUAGUCACAAAACUAAUUACCAAUUAAUUAUUGACUAAUAUUAAUUAAACAAUAUGAUUUCUCCUUUAAUAUAUUAUUCUCAUAAUAUAUUAAUAAAUCAUAUUUAAUCCUUUCUCUCCAUAAUUCAUCCUAUCAAGUUGCUUUGGUGAAGGCAACCCAAAAGGACCAUGCACCAUCGGGUCAAGUACAUACCAAAAUAGUUAUGGACUUAGACACUAAUCCAACAGUCUCCCACUUGGAUAAGUCUAAUAACUAUUAUGCGUAUGACUUCAGAUCCUGAUCUGCAAUCGUAGCUUUCCAAAGCCGCUGUCAACUCUGAUCCUAUCAGAUACGCGUGUCCUUAGAUAAGGGAUCAUAUAUUCCUCCAUUCUAGAUAUCAUAUGAGAUAUGAUUUCAAAUCAUUCUCUUUGUACUAUAUCUCGAUUCCCGAUUUAUGACGACUGACUAAUUGAACAAAUCAAAUUAGCCCUAGCCCGGCCGAGCAUUUACGUUUGUCAUCACUAAAUCAUCGAGGGGCCCAAAGAUAUCGCUUUUAUCCUACUUUGGAUAAAAGGAACGGAUAAACUUUGAUACAAUGCUUGCUUGCACUCACUCACCGAAUCACACACAACAAUAUGUUUUAUAACACCAAGUUACUAGUGCGUUUACAUAUUAUCAAUGUGCAACCGAUUUGCAAGAUACAACUCACACAUCUCGGUUUCAAGAAUAUAAGAUGUUAUCGUCUCACCAAUCACUCGUGAUACAAUUCAUGGAGUGAUCCAAGUGAGCGUGGGUUUAAUCCAAUGCUCAAAUCAUAUUCAUAAGCACUCAUGAACGUUGCAGCAAACAUUUGCUUAUGUCUAAUACUCUUUAGACAAUCCACACACCAAUUCACGACAGUCUUCAUUCAUACCUACUUCCAACAUAUGAACGACUGUGGCCCGUUUGAAUAAUUUGACUGUUCUUAACCAAUUAAAUUAUUCAGGAAGUCAAAACAUGCAAAGUGAAACACAAGAAUAAUACUAAUCCCAUAUGGCCUCAAACCUUUGAGUAUAAAUAAAACACCUUUUAUUUAUCACCAUAUCGAUUACUCAUUAUUUGUCGUUUCGGGUAAUCAACUUCUUACUUGAAUUAUUACACUUGUCCCAUGCUCCUAGCAUGCACACAAUGUUUACCUAUGGUUCUUACUUUGUGAAAUAGAUCAAAUUGAACACAUUUCCAAUCAUUCUCAUUUCACAACUCCAAAUCCUUUUUCAUAAGUGAAAGAAUAUCAAAUUCUUGCUACUUAUAGAAUAUGCUAGAUUCUAACAUUUUAUGCAAUGAUCUCUUUUGUAAUGUCACUGCACCAAAGUCACAAAGACUAUUGCCAAUGAUAUUACAAAGUCCUCUAUCGGAGAUUGUUACAAGACAAUUCCUUAGAUAUGAUGUCUCUCACUCAAAGUACAUUCCUUUGAACAUCCUUUUGCAUAAAAGUUUCUAAUCUAGACAUAGAUUUUCAAUAUUCAAUUCCCAAUAUGGACACGUUUCCAUAUUUUCCAUAUGACAACUCAUUCUUAAUAGAAUCUUAUCUAUUCAUAAUAAUGUCGAUAUGGUCCAUCCAAUAUGGAAACAUUUCCAUAUUUUCCAAUACUAUACUUCCAACUACUCACAAGCGACCAAUCCUCGUCGAACUUUGGAUUGUCCUUUGAUAGUUGUUUAAUUAUUUUAGUCAAAACCGAUUCUAGUCCUUUUUCCCUCUAAAUGCGCUAGACAUUUGGAAAAUUUUAGAAUGGUCAAACAUUAAAGCAUUUGCAAUCGAUCCUAUACCCGAAGCGUAUGGGACACGACGCAUAAUGUUUUAUUUGCUAUGUUCUCAAAAUUCGAAUUGUGAAGAGGAAUGCCGUAAUCAUAAUCGAAAUUUUAAGAACACACUAUGUACCUUUGACUAAAUUUAUUAACAUUUCUCAACCUAAUCCUUUAGAUUUGAAAUGAAGCAUAAUAUUCUCUCCCUUAAUUAUAGCAAAACAACUUUUCAACUCUUACAACUUUGCAAAGUAUGACUCUUGUUUUCUAUAAUUAAUAUUGCUAACCUUGCAAUACUUUCCUUAAUAAUCAUACAAUCAUAACAUUUAUGCUCCCACUAUCAUGAUGAUUAUUAUAAAACAUAACACUUAUGCUCCCACUAGCUUCGACAUGUAUUCAUAAACAUCUUAACUUUCAGAAAAACAAUACUUAUUGAAUUUCUUAAGUUCAUGUUUCUAAUACUUAGUGCUUUGAUAAUCUUUUAUCAAGGCUUCUUGAACUUAUACACCUUUGCCUUCGAUAGUUCAUAUGUGUGUCUAAACAAUUAAGACUAAUUGCCAAACCUCACAAUUCAAAUUAUGGAAAGGGAUGCCGUAACCAUAAUUGAAUUCGAGAAUGCAAUUUUACAAUCACUAUCUUCUUAAAAUCUUUCUUAGUGAAAGCAUUUCCUCACAAUCAUUUUCAUGAAGGAGGAAAUCUUAUGACACUUAGAUUUAAACGGUGUAUGUGUUCCUAUCCAUGUGAAUUUGUCAAAACCAAAGUUUACGACAAAUUCAAACUCAUAUGGAUCGAACUUUCUUAAUCUUGAUUUCUUGCCUUAUGGUAGCACAGCUGCCCACCAUGUCUUCCAAGUAGUUAAGCAGCUCACCUUUUCCUAUCAAUGUACCUUUCAUUGAUUAAGGUGCUUUGCCUUUUAUGCGUUCAAAAUGAGAACUCAUAGAACUCACAUGCAUAAUUAACUCGAUUGGAUUGGCACAGAAUCAAAAUAAUGUCAACACGAUAGGUUGUAAACCUCAACUCGUGUGCUAGUGAUGAUCGAUAAGGUUUAUUUGAUUUGUUCUUGAAACCUUUCAAGACCAUUAAGACUCCCACUGACUCCUUGACAUAUAAGAUUCUCUUGUCAAUAAACAUUUCUUGACAAACAAAUAUUCAAGAGUUAGUGUAGCUUUUAUCAAAACACUUCAUAAAUUGGUCCUAGUUGGUCUUUGUCUUAUCCAAGACAUCACAACUUUCCACAUUUGAUGAAUGUUAUAAACCUUCUUAAUACUUUUCACUCAAUGUCACAAUCUUAACUCUAAGACUUGUUAUUGGAACGAAGUAUGAUUGACUUAUUGAUUUAACCAUUUCUUCAAUUCUUGAUUCCUCUUCUUAGACAUACAAUUGUACUAAGACUCACUUAGAGGAUCAAUUGAGAUAUGGUUCUUAAUCAUUAAGACCUAUCAUAAAGCAUAAAAGGUACUCUCCCUUCUUCUUAGAAUGGAGAAACUUUUAUCUUUCUGCCUACUUGAUUCUUCUUAUUCGUUCUGCUAUUGAUUUAAACUUUUUCAAUCAAUUCAGAAUUACACUUAAUCUUAUAAGUAUAAUCAUAUUUACUAAACCUUUAGUAAAUCAUGACGAAUAUCUUUGUUACUCUUAUGGUGGACUUGAUCAACACGCAACUUUGUGUACUCGAUCUCCUAGUCCUUCACUUGACACUUUGUCAAUGAAUUAGUCUAAUUUCCAAAUAUGAAAUUUCUCAUUCAUCGUGCAACCAAGUUGCAUGAUUCCAAGUUUCUGUCCAAUUGAAACUUGGGCGAUGAGAAACUCUCCCUAUUUGGUAAAUUCUCGACUUUCCAUAAAUAACAUAAUAAGAACCAAAUCCAUUAUUGCUAAUAAUAGAAACAUUUUAACAUCAAUUUUUCAUACACGCCAUUGUAAGGAUAAAUAAAUAAAAUUUAAAAUCAAAAUUUAUUUUAUUGCGGAAAAAUUUUUCCUUACAAUGCAAUUCAUUGAAAAACUAUGCUAAUACAUCUUUCUUAGCAAUCUAAUUCUAACUCUAAGUAGUAGCUCAAGAAUCUAAUCUUCGAGAAAUGCGAUCGAAAUCCAUUCCUUCACGGUUAGAUUCUGCUCACUUCUUCCCUUAAGCUUCCUUUCUUUUCUUCGAUCCUACAAAACAUCAAUUGUAAUCUUAUCACAUUAUGUAUUAAGAAUCUAGAAUAGAAGCUUAAAAGAGUUAGUUAAUGGAUUUUACCUAUAUUAGAGCCAUACGUUUCGACUCUCCCAUCUCUUAGAUCUCUUAGGUAAAUGGGGCAGCUUCGUCUCCAAUGCCCUUUCUCUUGGCAAUAAAAGCAAAUUGACUCUUUUGGAACAUGACAUGGAACUACUUCAGACAUUGCCUUUCUCUUAUGAUCAAACUUUUCGAUCAUAGCAUGUCUUUCGUUGCCAUUGUCUAUAUCCAUAGAGGUCUUGAAGGCAGAUUCACCAAUCAACUUUGCUUUUCUAUUGCGCCAAACCAUUGCUGAUUCAGCAGCAAUAAGCAUAUAGGUGAGAUCUAUAAGGGUCACGUCGUGGUUCAUCAUAUAGUACUCUCUUACGAACUCACUAUAUGAGUUAGGAAGUGACUGAAGAACCCAAUCAACAGCCAUUUCCUCACAGACAACGGAUCCCAACAUUCUUAACCUAUCAAUGUGUGACUUCAUCCCUAGGACGUGUGCACACACCGACUUUCCUUCUUUAUGUUUACUUGCCAAAAGGGCUUGAGUGAUCUUGAACUUUUCAAGCCUUUGAACUUGUGGGUUAGGGAGAAUAAUUGGAGGAGGUGGAGGAAGUGAAGCAUGAUUUCUUGUUCCUCGAUCGAAUCGUGGAAUAUCAUCUUCAUGUGGAAUGCUUGUUCCACGGGAUUUGGGAAGACCAUAGUUGUCGAACUUUGACAUCUACAAAACGGGAGAAAACGAAUUCAAGUUAGUUGAUUGAUUGAGUCCUUAGUAAAUCACCCAAAUGAGAUACUAAGGCUAGGACCCAACACAAUAUUCUACAACUCGGGAGAGGGAUGCCGUAACCCAAAUUGCAGAACAUUUGAAGGUAAGUGAAUGACGAUUCACUAAUUUCCACCAUGAAAAACGAAAAAGAAAUUUAAGUUUUAAAUCUAUGAAAACUCCUAGAUCCUUUGAGAUUCAUUGAACAUUUCAAUGGCAUGUUUAAAUCUCGAUAUGCCCCUCUUGUUUGUGACUGGGAUGCCGAGGAUCACAAAGCGGGUGUGAAUAACCAUGCAAACUUACAUGGUGCCCUCACAUGUUACAGUCACCUAUUCGAUGUGCCGGUAAACCACACACGCUCCACCGAACUAUGACAAACAUUGAGUCACCCUUUGCUACCUUUGCUUAGAACCAUUUAGUGUGCCGGUAAACCACACACGCUCCACUAACGUCUUCGCAAGGGCACAAAGUGUAAUUUCAUGGAAUUGCAUCAAUUCACUUUUGCCUAAGUAACUAAGAUUGGGAAUUUUAUGAAAACAUUUAGUUACUUUUAUACUUCAUUAUACUUAUAAUGGAAGGUUUCGUCCUAUCCUACCCGUUCGGCUAACGACCCUCCACUAGUCAAGAGUGCGGUGGGUAAGAGUGGAUACCCAUUCAAUCGCCAUUUUAUAGGCAAUUUCCUUAAACACCCCUUAUAGACCAGCUUCGUGAAUGAGGCCUACUAACGGUAAGACUGACUUUUACUCAUACAUAUAUAUAAUGUUAGACUUUUAAUGUUAUAUAUAGUAUAGGGUGUAUUUUACACUUUUAAAAUACUAGGUGGUCAAAUUUAACAAUUAUACUUUUAAUUCAAUUAAAUUGUAAACCUAAACUUUUAUGGAUUUAUUAAACCUCUUUUAAUUAUACACCUUAAUUAAUUAAUAAAACCAUAAGGGUGUGAUUUGAACUUUUUCAAAACUAUACUAGAGUUUUAGAAUUUAACAUUCCUAAUUAAACUUUUAAUCAACUUUUAAAUUCCAAAACUUGAGGGCAAGUUUUGAAACAUUUCAACACAUUAGGGUUUAGAAUUUAAAUAUACAUCAAAAUUAAACUAUUUAAUCAAAAUUUAAAUUCCAAAACUUGAGGGCAAGUUUUGAAACCUUUUUCAAAACAUUAGGGUUUCAACUAUUUAAAUUUCAAAACAACAAAACUUUUGGGUUCAAAUUUAAACUAUAAAACCUAAAGGGGAAAAUAUGAAACUUUUCAUAACAACAAGGAUCAAAUAACAAAUAAUCUAAAUUAACAAUUAAUCACAUAAUUAUCCAUAUUUGAUUUAUUUAAUGAUUUCUUGCAAAACAAUUUAUCAAUUUAGUCAAAAUAAUUAAUCAAUUAUCACAUAAGGAAACAAUUAUCUUAUUAAUUGAUAAAUAUCUUCAAUUAGAUCAAAAAUAUAGUCAAAUAUAUCAUAUAAUCGGAUUAAUAUUGAUCUAACAUGAUAAGGUAACUAUCCAUAAGCAAAAACAGCAAGAAAUCCCGAAAUACCCUCCAUCUGACGAGUUGACUCGGCGAGUCAGGCUUGGACUCGGCGAGUCUGCAUGGACUCGGCGAGUUCAGCCAUGGACUCGGCGAGUCCAGCCUCCAGAAACCCAAAAAACGAAUUUUCCAGUUAUACAAUGCAUCAAUACAAUUGAAACCAAGCUAGGCUCUGAUACCACUGAUGGGUUUUGGUCAUAAGACAUCCUAUGUGCUCAUACAAACCCUAAUGCUUGGAUCUAGGUUUCUCUAUUGUACAUGCUUUGAAUCCA